rnacentral:rRNA from 1 species
AUUGAACGCUGGCGGCAGGCCUAACACAUGCAAGUCGAACGGUAACAGGAAGCAGCUUGCUGCUUUGCUGACGAGUGGCGGACGGGUGAGUAAUGUCUGGGAAACUGCCUGAUGGAGGGGGAUAACUACUGGAAACGGUAGCUAAUACCGCAUAACGUCGCAAGACCAAAGAGGGGGACCUUCGGGCCUCUUGCCAUCGGAUGUGCCCAGAUGGGAUUAGCUAGUAGGUGGGGUAACGGCUCACCUAGGCGACGAUCCCUAGCUGGUCUGAGAGGAUGACCAGCCACACUGGAACUGAGACACGGUCCAGACUCCUACGGGAGGCAGCAGUGGGGAAUAUUGCACAAUGGGCGCAAGCCUGAUGCAGCCAUGCCGCGUGUAUGAAGAAGGCCUUCGGGUUGUACAGUACUUUCAGCGGGGAGGAAGGGAGUAAAGUUAAUACCUUGGCUCAUUGACGUUACCCGCAGAAGAAGCACCGGCUAACUCCGUG